rnacentral:rRNA from 1 species
GACGAACGCUGGCGGCGUGCCUAAUACAUGCAAGUUGAGCGAUGAAGAUUGGUGCUUGCACCAAUUUGCAGAGCAGCGAACGGGUGAGUAACGCGUGGGGAAUCUGCCUUUGAGCGGGGGACAACAUUUGGAAACGAAUGCUAAUACCGCAUAACAACUUUAAACAUAAGUUUUAAGUUUGAAAGAUGCAAUUGCAUCACUCAAAGAUGAUCCCGCGUUGUAUUAGCUAGUUGGUGAGGUAAAGGCUCACCAAGGCGAUGAUACAUAGCCGACCUGAGAGGGUGAUCGGCCACAUUGGGACUGAGACACGGCCCAAACUCCUACGGGAGGCAGCAGUAGGGAAUCUUCGGCAAUAGACGAAAGUCUGACCGAGCAACGCCGCGUGAGUGAAGAAGGUUUUCGGAUCGUAAAACUCUGUUGGUAGAGAAGAACGUUGGUGAGAGUGGAAAGCUCAUCAAGUGACGGUAACUACCCAGAAAGGGACGGCUAACUACGUG